rnacentral:lncRNA from 1 species
UCCAACAGUUGGAUGGAAAGAAUGACGGUUCAAACAGGGUUUGAAUAUAUUCAGAAAAGGAUGUUCACUACUCGGGAAUUCAAUAAUAAUGACAACUCUUAAGGAAAAUAAAAUUCGGUCUUUAUACUACCAUUUACAAAUUAACGGGGCAGCUAAAAAAUAUACCGGAAUUAAAUGAAUGUAUAUAGAUAUGUCUGUGAUCUAAUAAAGAGUUAUGAAGCACGCCUCACUCUCUAAAAUUGCUGUGGGGAAAGAAGAAAUUAUUUUUUCUUUGAUUUUUCCUUAUUUGAAGUUUCCUCCAAAGAGAAGAGGUGGGAAUUUGGACUUGCGACUCGAGUUAGACCUUAGUCCAUAUUUUGAAGACGAUCUCACAAUCAAA